rnacentral:rRNA from 1 species
GACGAACGCUGGCGGCGUGCUUAACACAUGCAAGUCGAACGGGCCUGCCUGGCUUUGGUUGGGUGGGUGAGUGGCGAACGGGUGAGUAACACGUGAGUAACCUGCCCUCUUCUCUUGGAUAACUGCUUGAAAGGGCGGCUAAUACGGGAUGUUCUGGCUGCCUCGCAUGGGGUGGUUUGGAAAGAUUCGGCCUGGUUUUGGUUGUUUUGGUGGGGGAUGGGCUCGCGGCUUAUCAGCUUGUUGGUGGGGUGAUGGCCUACCAAGGCGGUGACGGGUAGCCGGCCUGAGAGGGUGGACGGUCACACUGGGACUGAGACACGGCCCAGACUCCUGCGGGAGGCAGCAGUGGGGGAUUUUGCACAAUGGGCGCAAGCCUGAUGCAGCGACGCCGCGUGAGGGAUGGAGGCCUU